GACGAACGCUGGCGGCGUGCUUAACACAUGCAAGUCGAACGGUAAGGCUCCAGCUUGCUGGGGUACACGAGUGGCGAACGGGUGAGUAACACGUGGGUGACCUGCCCUGCACUUCGGGAUAAGCCUGGGAAACUGGGUCUAAUACCGGAUAGGACCGCACCGUGAGGGUGUGGUGGAAAGUUUUUUCGGUGUGGGAUGGGCCCGCGGCCUAUCAGCUUGUUGGUGGGGUAAUGGCCUACCAAGGCGGCGACGGGUAGCCGGCCUGAGAGGGUGGACGGCCACAUUGGGACUGAGACACGGCCCAGACUCCUACGGGAGGCAGCAGUGGGGAAUAUUGCACAGUGGGCGGAAGCCUGAUGCAGCGACGCCGCGUGGGGGAUGACGGCCUUCGGGUUGUAAACUCCUUUCACCAUCGACGAAGGGUUUCUGACGGUAGAUGGAGAAGAAGCACCGGCUAACUACGUGCCAGCAGCCGCGGUAAUACGUAGGGUGCGAGCGUUGUCCGGAAUUACUGGGCGUAAAGAGCUCGUAGGUGGUUUGUCGCGUCGUCUGUGAAAUUCCGGGGCUUAACUCCGGGCGUGCAGGCGAUACGGGCAUAACUUGAGUACUGUAGGGGAGACUGGAAUUCCUGGUGUAGCGGUGAAAUGCGCAGAUAUCAGGAGGAACACCGGUGGCGAAGGCGGGUCUCUGGGCAGUAACUGACGCUGAGGAGCGAAAGCAUGGGGAGCGAACAGGAUUAGAUACCCUGGUAGUCCAUGCCGUAAACGGUGGGCGCUAGGUGUGGGUUUCCUUCCACGGGAUCCGUGCCGUAGCUAACUCAUUAAGCGCCCCGCCUGGGGAGUACGGCCGCAAGGCUAAAACUCAAAGGAAUUGACGGGGGCCCGCACAAGCGGCGGAGCAUGUGGAUUAAUUCGAUGCAACGCGAAGAACCUUACCUGGGCUUGACAUAUACAGGAUCGCGCCAGAGAUGGUGUUUCCCUUGUGGCUUGUAUACAGGUGGUGCAUGGUUGUCGUCAGCUCGUGUCGUGAGAUGUUGGGUUAAGUCCCGCAACGAGCGCAACCCUUGUCUUAUGUUGCCAGCACGUUGUGGUGGGGACUCGUAAGAAACUGCCGGGGUUAACUCGGAGGAAGGUGGGGAUGACGUCAAAUCAUCAUGCCCCUUAUGUCCAGGGCUUCACACAUGCUACAAUGGUCGGUACAGUGGGUUGCCAGUCCGUGAGGGCGAGCUAAUCCCGCAAAGCCGGUCUCAGUUCGGAUCGGGGUCUGCAACUCGACCCCGUGAAGUCGGAGUCGCUAGUAAUCGCAGAUCAGCAACGCUGCGGUGAAUACGUUCCCGGGCCU
rnacentral:rRNA from 1 species